rnacentral:rRNA from 2 species
ACUUAAAUUGAAGAGUUUGAUCAUGGCUCAGAUUGAACGCUGGCGGCAGGCCUAACACAUGCAAGUCGAGCGGUAGCACAGAGAGCUUGCUCUCGGGUGACGAGCGGCGGACGGGUGAGUAAUGUCUGGGAAACUGCCUGAUGGAGGGGGAUAACUACUGGAAACGGUAGCUAAUACCGCAUAAUGUCGCAAGACCAAAGUGGGGGACCUUCGGGCCUCAUGCCAUCAGAUGUGCCCAGAUGGGAUUAGCUAGUAGGUGGGGUAACGGCUCACCUAGGCGACGAUCCCUAGCUGGUCUGAGAGGAUGACCAGCCACACUGGAACUGAGACACGGUCCAGACUCCUACGGGAGGCAGCAGUGGGGAAUAUUGCACAAUGGGCGCAAGCCUGAUGCAGCCAUGCCGCGUGUGUGAAGAAGGCCUUCGGGUUGUAAAGCACUUUCAGCGGGGAGGAAGGCGUUAAGGUUAAUAACCUUGGCGAUUGACGUUACCCGCAGAAGAAGCACCGGCUAACUCCGUGCCAGCAGCCGCGGUAAUACGGAGGGUGCAAGCGUUAAUCGGAAUUACUGGGCGUAAAGCGCACGCAGGCGGUCUGUCAAGUCGGAUGUGAAAUCCCCGGGCUCAACCUGGGAACUGCAUUCGAAACUGGCAGGCUAGAGUCUUGUAGAGGGGGGUAGAAUUCCAGGUGUAGCGGUGAAAUGCGUAGAGAUCUGGAGGAAUACCGGUGGCGAAGGCGGCCCCCUGGACAAAGACUGACGCUCAGGUGCGAAAGCGUGGGGAGCAAACAGGAUUAGAUACCCUGGUAGUCCACGCCGUAAACGAUGUCGAUUUGGAGGUUGUGCCCUUGAGGCGUGGCUUCCGGAGCUAACGCGUUAAAUCGACCGCCUGGGGAGUACGGCCGCAAGGUUAAAACUCAAAUGAAUUGACGGGGGCCCGCACAAGCGGUGGAGCAUGUGGUUUAAUUCGAUGCAACGCGAAGAACCUUACCUGGUCUUGACAUCCACAGAACUUAGCAGAGAUGCUUUGGUGCCUUCGGGAACUGUGAGACAGGUGCUGCAUGGCUGUCGUCAGCUCGUGUUGUGAAAUGUUGGGUUAAGUCCCGCAACGAGCGCAACCCUUAUCCUUUGUUGCCAGCGGUUAGGCCGGGAACUCAAAGGAGACUGCCAGUGAUAAACUGGAGGAAGGUGGGGAUGACGUCAAGUCAUCAUGGCCCUUACGACCAGGGCUACACACGUGCUACAAUGGCAUAUACAAAGAGAAGCGACCUCGCGAGAGCAAGCGGACCUCAUAAAGUAUGUCGUAGUCCGGAUUGGAGUCUGCAACUCGACUCCAUGAAGUCGGAAUCGCUAGUAAUCGUAGAUCAGAAUGCUACGGUGAAUACGUUCCCGGGCCUUGUACACACCGCCCGUCACACCAUGGGAGUGGGUUGCAAAAGAAGUAGGUAGCUUAACCUUCGGGAGGGCGCUUACCACUUUGUGAUUCAUGACUGGGGUGAAGUCGUAACAAGGUAACCGUAGGGGAACCUGCGGUUGGAUCACCUCCUUACCUUAAAGAA